ACUGCCGGUGACAAACCGGAGGAUGGUGCGGACGACGUCAAGUCAUCAUGGCCCUUACGUCCAGGGCUGCACACGUGCUACAAUGGAUGGUACAGAAGGUCGCCACCUAGCAAUAGGGCGCAAAUCUUUAAAACCAUUCUCAGUUCGGAUCGGAGUCUGCAACUCGACUCCGUGAAGUUGGAAUCGCUAGUAAUCGCGUAUCAGCCAUGACGCGGUGAAUACGUUCCCGGACCUUGUACACACCGCCCGUCAAGCCAUGGAAGUUGGGUAUACCUGAAGAUGGUUGCUGCAAAGCGCUGUUUAGGGUAGAACCAGUAACUGGGGCUAAGUCGGAACAAGGUAGCCGUACCGGAAGGUGCGGCUGGAUCACCUCCUU
rnacentral:rRNA from 1 species